UACGAAGGGGGCUAGCGUUGCUCGGAAUGACUGGGCGUAAAGGGCGCGUAGGCGGAUGGCACAGUCAGAUGUGAAAUUCCCGGGCUUAACCUGGGGGCUGCAUUUGGUACGUGUUGUCUUGAGUUCGGAAGAGGGUCGUGGAAUUCCCAGUGUAGAGGUGAAAUUCGUAGAUAUUGGGAAGAACACCGGUGGCGAAGGCGGCGACCUGGUCCUUGACUGACGCUGAGGCGCGAAAGCGUGGGGAGCAAACAGG
rnacentral:rRNA from 1 species